AUUGAACGCUGGCGGCAUGCUUUACACAUGCAAGUCGAACGAGUGGCGAACGGGUGAGUAAUAUAUCGGAACUUACCGAGCUAUCGGGCAUAACCAAUCGACAGAUUGGCUAAUACCCCAUAUUAUUCGAGCGGCCGAUAGGUGAUUAGCUAGUUGGUGGGGUAAAGGCCUACCAAGGCGACGAUCAGUAGCGGUGCGGAGAGGACGAUCGGCCACACUGGGACUGAGACACGGCCCAGACGCCUACGGGAGGCAGCAGUGGGGAAUUUUGGACAAUGGGGGAAACCCUGAUCCAGCCAUGCCGCGUGUAUGAAGAAGGCCUUCGGGUUGUAAAGUACUUUUGUUAGGGAAGCGGUACCUAAAGAAUAAGCACCGGCUAACUACGUGCCAGCCGCCGCGGUAAUAC
rnacentral:rRNA from 1 species